UACAGAGGGGGCAAGCGUUAUUCGGAUUCACUGGGCGUAAAGGGUGCGCAGGCGGCCAGGUGUGUUAGGCGUGAAAGCCUGAGGCUUAACCUCAGAAUUGCACCUAAAACUACAUGGCUAGAGCAUUGGAGAGGGUAGCGGAAUUCACGGUGUAGCAGUGAAAUGCGUAGAUAUCGUGAGGAACACCAGAGGCGAAGGCGGGUCUCUGGACAGUUCCUGACGCUGAGGCACGAAGGUCAGGGGAGCAAACGGG
rnacentral:rRNA from 1 species